CUCUUGAUUUAACUGAUCUAUCAAGUUCUCUAAAAAGCUUUUCAUCACUGGUCAUGUGGUUCGUACAACCACUAUCAACAAGCCAACUUUCACUUGAUUUUUUGCUUGCGAAACAGGUGGCCACAAAUAGUUGCUCAUCUUCUUGUUGGUCUGCAAUCUGUGCAUCAUUUGGUUGUUGUAAUUCCUUCUCUUUGCAGAUAAUCUCAGCAUGACCGAGCUUGUGACACUUUCUGCAUUUCAUAUUAGGUUUUCUCCAACACUUGAAGUGUGGAUGAUUUUUCCUCCCACAAUGUUGGCAGGGAGGAUAUUUGCCUUCUCUGUUGUUGCUAGUUGCAGUAACA
rnacentral:lncRNA from 1 species